AGCAGCCGCGGUAAUUCCAGCUCCAAUAGCGUAUAUUAAAGUUGUUGCAGUUAAAAAGCUCGUAGUUGAAUUUCGAGAUUAGUGCGCUGGUCAUGCCUUUGGUAUGUACUGGUGUUACUGGUUUCUACCUUCUGAAGAACCGUCAUGUCAUUCAUUUGGUGUGGCGGGGAAUCAGGACUGUUACUUUGAAAAAAUUAGAGUGUUUAAAGCAGGCUCGCGCUUGAAUACAUUAGCAUGGAAUAAUGAAAUAGGACGUUUGACCCUAUUUUGUUGGUUUCUAGGAUCGACGUAAUGAUUAAUAGGGAUAGUUGGGGGCAUUAGUAUUCAAUUGUCAGAGGUGAAAUUCUUGGAUUUAUUGAAGACUAACUACUGCGAAAGCAUUUGCCAAGGAUGUUUUCAUUAAUCAAGAACGAAAGUUAGGGGAUCGAAGACGAUCAGAUACCGUCGUAGUCUUAACCAUAAACUAUGCCGACUAGGGAUCGGAUGAUGUUAUUUUUAAUGACUCAUUCGGCGCCUUACG
rnacentral:rRNA from 1 species